CACUAUGCUUAGCCAUAAACAUUGAUAGUUCACUACAUCUACUAUCCGCCUGGGUACUACGAGCACCAGCUUAAAACCCAAAGGACUUGGCGGUGCUUUAGAUCCACCUAGAGGAGCCUGUUCUGUAACCGAUAAUCCCCGUCCAACCUCACCUUUCCUUGCUUUCCCCGCCUAUAUACCGCCGUCGUCAGCUUACCCUGUGAAGGCCUAAUAGUAAGCAAAAUUGGUACAACCCAGAAUGUCAGGUCGAGGUGUAGCGUAUGGAAAGGGAAGAAAUGGGCUACAUUUCCUUGUUAAGGAAAUACGAAUUAUGUACUGAAACGUACAUUUGAAGGAGGAUUUAGCAGUAAGUAGAAAAUAGAGUGUUCUACUGAAAUCGGCCCUGAAGCGCGCACACACCGCCCGUCACUCUCCCCAAAUUAGCCAAACAAAGUAAUUAAAACGAUUUAUAUACAAAGGGGAGGCAAGUCGUAA
rnacentral:rRNA from 1 species